UCUGCUUGUUCUUUUCUCUUUUCUCCUCCAUCAUCUCUCUCUGCGGUAGAAAUAAAAUUUAGAACUUAACUGAAAUUUUGCUAGGAUAAACUGAUGAGUUUGAUGCAUGGAUUUGCUGCUGAUUCUAGUAUUGAUUGGUCUUAAGAGCAGAGUAAGGGAAUUUGUUCGUCUGUUCUCAAUUUGAGUGUGGACAAUUCGAAUUCGAGUUGCUCAGAAGAAUUUGAAGGUCUGGUUUAAUUGCAGAAUCAAUACUAAGCGUGCUUGCUUGUAAUGCAGUGUGGACAAUUCGAAUUCGAGUUGCUCAGAAGAAUUUGAAGGUCUGGUUAUUUGAGUGGCGCAUCGGAGAGUCGGAGUUUGCUAAGCGGGUUGAAAUCCGGUUCGUUGGGAAUCCAGAUUCUCUGAUCCGCCACAUACCUACUCUGCUAAAAAUUCAGUCAAAUCGGAAUAUGAUGCAAUCUCUAAAACCUGAUUUUAAUAAAACGGUAUACGUUUAAGAAUUUCAACCGUUCGAUUAAACUAUAUUUUAAGUAUGUUUUGUAUAUUGUUCUUAUUGACCUAUUAUAUAAAUUUCAUAAAGAUCCAACCAUGAGAAACAUUCCAAAGUACGUGAUAUUUUCAGCUGUGUUCA